GCAGCAAACAAUUGGACCACACUGGUUGAACUUUUUUCUCUAUCCGUACAAUGUUCUCAAUUUUUUACCCUUGAUAUAUUUGCAGGUUUGUCAGCUGGAAAGAGUCGGGGGGAAAGAUGUAAAGGACUGCACGCACAAAGUGAUGGACAGGCUCUUCACCAAUCAGCUGAUGACCUUUUUUAAUAUGAAGGGGAAGGGCAAAAAGGAUAAAAUUGGAAUUGAAGACAAGAAAUUGUUUUCAGCAAUAAAAGCUGCUGUCAUGAAAUGGGACCCAGCUGCUACAGAGGCCCAAAUAAAGUCUGCUGCAGCCGAUCAUUUGAAACAUGCUCCCGGGAGAGUCGGGGGUGGUGGCUACAAAUAAAUAUAUUGUGGACCUAAUAGCAGCCAUAGUUUGUUAAUUGUUUACUGUUUUAACAACAUUUUAUAGUACUUUUAUUUAUAACUUUACUGUUCUGGCAGUAAUACAGUUUUAUUGUGUUAAUUUAUACUUUAAUGUUCUGGUUUUAAGUUUGGGUAAAAUUAGUAAUAAAAAUAUGUUUUGAGAUUUAAA